CGGCCUGUAGCUCAGUAGGUAGAGCGCGGCGUGCAAUACCCGAGGUCGAAGGUUCGAGUCCUUCCCGGCCGA
rnacentral:tRNA from 1 species